AAGCAACCUGACGGUACCAGAGGAAUCAGCAUCGGCUAACUCCGUGCCAGCAGCCGCGGUAAGACGGAGGAUGCAAGCGUUAUCCGGAAUGAUUGGGCGUAAAGCGUCCGCAGGUGGCAGUUCAAGUCUGCGGUAAAAUAGUGUGGCUCAACCAUACUCCGCCGUUGAUACUGGUUGCCUUGAGUUCACACAAGGAAGAUGGAAUUCGUGGUGUAGCGGUGAAAUGCUUAGAUAUCACGAAGAACUCCGAUUGCGAAGGCAGUUUUCUGGGGUGUUACUGGUCGACGCGGCCG
rnacentral:rRNA from 1 species